rfam:Trichobilharzia regenti genome assembly, scaffold: TRE_scaffold0039428
AUCCGGACGACGAGUCCCAAAUAGGACGAAACGGGCAUCCUGGAU